rnacentral:lncRNA from 1 species
CCUCCCCUAAUUUGUGCUACGUCUACAUGUUUUUCGUGAUAGAUAAUGUAUAGAGAACGGUCCCUCAUGAACAAAUGUUGGCUUAUUCUCUCUUACUUGCGUCUGUCAUUUAUGGCUUAUGAAAAAGGCCACGAAAGAAAUGCGAAAUCGGAUAACGUCGUAAGGCAAACAAUUUAACCAACUGUUGGUUGUUCACGGAUUGAAGCCACACAAAAAAGAGACGUUUCAGUCUUUCACCAUUAAAAAAGAAAGAAGAAAACCGAAAUCCCUCCAAAACAACGGAGCAAAACCCAACCGCACACAACUCCCAUCAAUCCCUGCACACCCACUUGCCAACUCACAAAUAAGGUACACUCGCCGGGUACACAUACCACAAGCACCCACCCCUCCCAAUAGAUUAAAGAACCACAUAACGAAUAAAACAUAAACAAAACAAAAAAAGCGAGAAGUGAUGGAC